CCGUGGGAGGGCCGGGCAGAGACGCUUCUCGUAGAGAAUUUUUCGGGUUAAAAUGUCUGGAGCCUUCUAUUCUCGCUACAGACUCCUGUGGAGACUUCCCGCCAGGUGUGCGUCACUUUACAUCUUUGGAAACCAGCUGUCUCUUAAGAAAAUUAUCCAGUCGUUCUCCACAGCUGUUCCCGCGGGUGCUUCUUCACUCCUCUGGAGAAAGACAAGGUGAAAAACACAUGACUCAUCAAAGAUUGAAGCUCAGAGCCAAAUUGAAUGUGAAUUGAAACCACUUUCCUUGCCCCCAGGUUUCUGGGGUCCCUGAGCAAGGUCUUCUGUUCCUCAGGGUAUAGGAGGUGUCAGUACCAGUAGAAAACCAGGCUGAAGGCCUGUCAUGAGUAAGGUCAUUUCCAAGACCCUCUUCCCCACCUGGAACCAGAUGCUGCUGUUAAAUGACUUGGUGCUUUAUGGAGACCAGAGGAGUUGAUGGGGUCCCUACCUUUAGUGGUAGUGGAGGAGCUGUAUGACAACAACGCAGUGGUUGGGAAGCUCUUCAGACUUGCCUUCUGCAAAUCACUGGGUAUGGAAACCUUACUGCAGAUGUGGAAAAACUGCACAGAAAAUCCUGUGGUUCUGAUAGUGCCCAACGUGAAGAAAUGCUUUUGAAGGUUGGAAGACAUCCUCUUAGAGCCCACAGCAGAUCUGGGUUAUGAAUACCCAUGUACUUCUCAGUUUGGAGUUUCUCAGCACUGCACAGACUACAAAGUAUGAGCAGAUCCAGGACUCUCAGAUUGGUUCCCAAGGAACUUCCUUUGCUCCCAGACCAUGAAGUUCUCCCUCAUCUUGUGCCUCCGGAUUUGUUUCCAGACCUUCACAUAGGAGCUACUCCCAAACCUGAUGGAAAGAGCUUCAGAAAUCCUGGACUUUUGGGAAAUGAGUGUAACUGGACGGGAGUACCUUGGGGAGAGCCAAUAAUCAGAGCUUAUAAUGAUGUUGACUCUGAGUUAUGAAAAGGAAAAGGGUGGUUAAAUAUAAAACUAAAAUAUUAAAACAGACUUAAGAGCUGCAGCUCAACAUCAGAAUUGCUUUGACGAGAAAUGUAUCUCUUUGGAUAGAGAAUACAUUUUACUUUUCAAAGUUAUGUCAAAUUACAUAACUCUUUGGGGCUUACAUAUCGUGAAUCAAAGUUCUGGAAUAACGGGGAGAGUGUAGGACAAACGGGACCUCGGCACCAGAAGCAGAAGAGGACAAUCCAAAGACGAAUGGGCUUUUCCGGACAAGGAUCAGACUUCUCCCUGGAGGGAGAGCUGACCUCCCACAGUAGAGCAAUGGCUACAUCAGCUGCUUGCUACACUUUUACAGAUCAAAAUCAUGAACCAAAUACCUGGUAAUGAACCACCCCCAGCUGCCACUCUGUGCCCUCCCAAGAGUGAUUUUGAUUGAAAUGAAUUUCUUUUCAAAAAUAGCAAUGCCUAGGUCAACUAAUCUGUGACAAAGGAGGCAAGGAUAUACAAUGGAGAAAAGACAGUCUCUUCAAUAAG